rnacentral:lncRNA from 1 species
UUCGAGUCGAGCCGAGCUCGAGCUCUAAACGAGCCGAUUUAAAUUGUCAACAUUAUAUAAUCAAUAGUUUAUUUUUAUAGAACAUUACCUAUAAUUUGAUGCAACAUGUUCAAUAGUUCAAAAUACAAAAUAAUUGUAAGAAAUGUGAGCUAGGGUGACUACCUGACUAGGUGAGGGUCAGAGAGAGAAAGAGAGAGGGAAAAAAUUGGGGAUUUGGGAAUUUGAAUGUUAUCAUGUUUUAGGGUUAUGUGCAAUAGUAAAAGUCUGAAAGAGAGAGUGUGUUAUGUAAAUUUA